rnacentral:rRNA from 1 species
AAAAAUCCGGGCGCAUGACUCAAGGGUGUGGCACGAGCGAACAUGUUUCGCGAAGUGAUUGGAAGUGGUUCCAAGAAAAGCCUCUAAGCUUCAGCUGUACGAGACCGUACCGCAAACCGACACAGGUGGACGGGAUGGAUAUUCCAAGGCGCUUGAGAGAACUCGGGAGAAGGAACUCGGCAAAUUGAUACCGUAACUUCGGGAGAAGGUAUGCCCCGGUAGUGUGAGGCGCCUGCGCGCUGAGCAUGAUGGAGUCGCAGAGAAUCGGUGGCUGCGACUGUUUAUUAAAAACACAGCACUCUGCAAAGACGAAAGUCGACGUAUAGGGUGUGACGCCUGCCCGGUGCCGGAAGGUUAAGUGAUGGGGUGCAAGCUCUUGAUCGAAGCCCCGGUAAACGGCGGCCGUAACAAUAACGGUCCUAAGGUAGCGAAAUUCCUUGUCGGGUAAGUUCCGACCUGCACGAAUGGCGUAACGAUGGCCACACUGUCUCCUCCCGAGACUCGGCGAAGUUGAAGUGUUUGUGAUGAUGCAAUCUACCCGCGGCUAGACGGAAAGACCCCAUGAACCUUUACUGUAGCUUUGCAUUGGACUGUGAACCGGCCUGUGUAGGAUAGGUGGGAGGCGCUGAAACCGAGUCGCCAGAUUCGGUGGAGCCAACCUUGAAAUACCACCCUGGUUUGUUUGCGGUUCUAACCUUGGUCCGUUAUCCGGAUUGGGGACAGUGCAUGGUGGGCAGUUUGACUGGGGCGGUCUCCUCCCAAAGCGUAACGGAGGAGUUCGAAGGUACGCUAGGUACGGUCGGAAAUCGUGCUGAUAGUGCAAUGGCAUAAGCGUGCUUGACUGUGAGACUGACAAGUCGAACAGGUGCGAAAGCAGGACAUAGUGAUCCGGUGGUUCUGAAUGGAAGGGCCAUCGCUCAACGGAUAAAAGGUACUCUGGGGAUAACAGGCUGAUACCGCCCAAGAGUUCAUAUCGACGGCGGUGUUUGGCACCUCGAUGUCGGCUCAUCUCAUCCUGGGGCUGUAGCCGGUCCCAAGGGUAUGGCUUUCGCCAUUUAAAGAGGUACGUGAGCUGGGUUUAAAACGUCGUGAGACAGUUUGGUCCCUAUCUGCCGUGGGCGUUGGAUACUUGACGGAGCCUGCUCCUAGUACGAGAGGACCGGAGUGGACGUACCUCUGGUGUACCGGUUGUCAUGCCAAUGGCAUUGCCGGGUAGCUAUGUACGGAAGAGAUAACCGCUGAAGGCAUCUAAGCGGGAAACUCGUCUGAAGAUUAGGUAUCCCGGGGCCUCGAGCCCCCUGAAGGGUCGUUCAAGACCAGGACGUUGAUAGGUCAGGUGUGGAAGCGCAGUAAUGCGUUAAGCUAACUGAUACUAAUUGCCCGUGCGGCUUGAUCC